rnacentral:rRNA from 1 species
ACGGGUGAGUAAUGUGUGGGUAAUCUGCCUUUCAGAGGGGGAUAACCCGGCGAAAGCUGGGCUAAUACCCCAUGAUAUUGCUUGGAUUUUGGUUCGAGUAAUUAAAGGAUGGCCUCUAUUUAUAAGCUAUCGCUGAGAGAUGAGCUCACAUCCUAUCACGCUUGUUGGUGAGGUAAUGGCUCACCAAGGCGACGACGGGUAGCCGGCCUGAGAGGGUGUCCGGCCACACUGGAACUGAGACACGGUCCAGACUCCUACGGGAGGCAGCAGUGGGGAAUUUUUCGCAAUGGGGGCAACCCUGACGAAGCAACGCCGCGUGGAGGAUGAAGGCCCUAGUGGUCGUAAACUCCUGUCUAGGGGGACGAAAGCGUCUAUCGCGAAUAGUGGUAGAUGUUGACUGUACCUCUGGAGGAAGCUCCGGCUAACUCCGUGCCAGCAGCCGCGGUAAUACGGGGGGAGCAAGCGUUACUCGGAAUUAUUGGGCGUAAAGGGCGCGUAGGCGAUCCUGUAAGUCUCGUGUGAAAUCCCAGGGCUUAACCCUGGAAUGGCAUGAGAAACUGCGGGAUUUGAGUUCCGGAGAGGAA